CUGCCCUGUCCAGACGCAGCUGCAGGAACCAACACCAUCAUCCUGGUCGAUGCGGACGGCCACGUGACCUUCACUGAGCGUAGCAUGAUGAACAAGGACCUCUCCCACUGGGAGACCAGAACCUAUGAGUUCACACUGCAGAGCUAACCCCACCUCUGGGCCUGGCCAGUGGGCCCCUGGGGGGCCCUGCCUUGAGGGGCACUGUGGACAGGAAACCUUCCUUGGCCAUACUGCAUUGCACUGCCCGUGGCUUGGCCAGCAUCCCCCGGAUCAGGGCCCUGUGGUUUGCGUGUUACCCAUCUGUGUCCCCAUGCCCAGUUCAGGGUCUGCCUUUAUGCCAGUGGGGAGCAGCAGAGUCUGAUAGCAGGUCUAGGACCGACCCAGGUAUACCAUGAACAUGUGGAUACACCUGAG
rnacentral:sRNA from 1 species